UACAGAGGGUGCGAGCGUUGUCCGGAAUCACUGGGCGUAAAGGGCGCGUAGGCGGCCUGGUAAGUAGAGGGUGAAAUCCCGCGGCUCAACUGCGGGGCUGCCUUCUAGACUGCCGGGCUCGAGCACGGUAGAGGCUGGUGGAAUUCCCGGUGUAGCGGUGGAAUGCGUAGAGAUCGGGAAGAACACCCGUGGCGAAGGCGGCCAGCUGGACCGUUGCUGACGCUGAUGCGCGAAAGCGUGGGGAGCAAACAGG
rnacentral:rRNA from 1 species